AUGCCUGACUCUGAGCUGAACAGCCCGGCGUCGUCGUCCGCCUCGCCGCCGCCAUCGCCAACCAUGGCGAGAGGCGGAGUUAUGGAGAAGAGAGGGAGGGAUGCCGGAGGCAAUGGCGCGGGCGGCCGGCACCCGGCGUACCGCGGCGUUCGGAUGAGGGCGUGGGGGAAGUGGGUGUCCGAGAUCAGGGAGCCGCGCAAGAAGUCGCGCAUCUGGCUGGGCACCUUCCCGACGCCAGAGAUGGCGGCGCGCGCGCACGACGCCGCCGCGCUCGUGGUGAAGGGCCCUACAGCCGUGCUCAAUUUCCCGGAGCUGGCCUCGUCCCUGCCGCGCGCAGCCUCCGCCGCGCCCAACGACGUGCAGGCCGCGGCAGCCCGCGCCGCGGCCAUGGAGCCUGCCCCUGUGGGCGCGAGCGUGAGCGCGGAGCCAAUGCCGGCGGCUGCGACGUCGCCCCUGUGGCGCCGCGGAGAGAUGUCGAGCCAGGUCGACGACGAGCUUGAGGAAAUCAUCGAGCUGCCAUCCAUCGAUGAGGACAUCGCGGCCGCCGUUGAGGUCGCGUUCGGGGGCACGUUCUGCGAAGACCCCGUCGCCGAGCCGUGGUACGAACCAACGUGGCUGGGUGAGCACGCGGGCAUUGGCUCGCACGACGAGCUGGCCGUGUCCGCGCUCGGCCUGGAGCCGUACCAGUUCUGGGGGCAGCCCGAUGGCAUCGCCGCGUCCGGGUUCGGUGCGCUCUUGUGGAACCUGUAA
rnacentral:rRNA from 1 species